GACGAACGCUGGCGGCGUGCUUAACACAUGCAAGUCGAACGGUGAAGGGACCGGUUUUUGCUGGUUCUGGAUGAGUGGCGAACGGGUGAGUAACACGUGAGUAACCUGCCCCCUUCUUCUGGAUAACCGCAUGAAAGUGUGGCUAAUACGGGAUAUUCUGCGCCUGCUGCAUGGUGGGUGUGGGAAAGAUAUUGUUUCGGUGGGGGAUGGGCUCGCGGCCUAUCAGCUUGUUGGUGGGGUGAUGGCCUACCAAGGCGGUGACGGGUAGCCGGCCUGAGAGGGUGGACGGUCACACAGGGACUGAGACACGGCCCAGACUCCGACGGGAGGCAGCAGUGGGGAAUAUUGCACAAUGGGCGCAAGCCUGAUGCAGCGACGCCGCGUGAGGGAUGGAGGCCUGCGGGUUGUAAACCUCUUUCGCCAGUGAAGCAGGCCUGUCCCUUUUGUGGGUGGGUUGACGGUAGCUGGAUAAGAAGCGCCGGCUAACUACGUG
rnacentral:rRNA from 1 species